rnacentral:lncRNA from 13 species
UUAAAUGCCAGUCUAGGUGUGAUAUGCAGGGGUUUUUUUAAUGGUGUCUUGUACUGUUGCCCAGGCUGGAGUGCAGUGGUGCAAUCUCUGCUCACUACAACCUUUGCCUCCCAGGUUCAAGUGAUUCUCCUGCCUCAGCCUCCUAAGUAGCUGGGAUUGCAGGUGCCUGCCACCAUGCCUGGAUCAUUUUUUGUAUUUUUAGUAGAGACGGAGUUUCACCGUGUUAGCCAGGAUGGUCUUGAACUCCUGACUUCAUGAUCCAUCUGCCUUGGCUUCCCAAAGUUCUUGGAAUACAGUCAUUAACCACCACACCUGGCCAAUAUGCAGUUUUGGUGACUCAUUUCCUCACUUGAGACACAGAAAUAUGAAUGCAGUGUCAACCAACUAUAAAGGAGUGUCAUGAGAGUUCUGGCCAUGGAGUAAUCAUAAUUCUACUUGAAAUCCCAUCUACAGUACUGAUCAAUGACCUGCCAAGGAUGAAUUGAGUGCCUACCAUGUGCUAGCUAGGCAUUGUGCUGAGCCUCACACAAUGACAGACCCUGAGAUAAGAAUUCAAGUGCCAGGAAUUUGAGAGAAGGUCCCGGAAAACACCGGAAAUAGUGGACAUGAGACAGAGAAGACGAGAAAGCCAAUACAGGAUGCUCAUUAUCAAGCAAGUUACCACCAUGGGCAGAUAGAGCUCGAUCCCACUAGAGAAUUCUGAAAACUGCGACUAAGAAUUCAUCCAACCAGGGGGCCAGGGAUCUGGGCUGGCACUCACAUCAAAGGGAGAGAAACAGCAAGCCACACCCAAAAGAGGAAAAGAACCAGAACGAAAAUUCCACAAAAAAGAAGCUCAGAGCGAAGAAUGAGAUUAUUUUUCCUGCCCAUAAUAAUGGAGUUUGAAUGGGGCUUUCCCAGCACAGAGAAUAAUAGCCCUUUCUUUUUCACAUGUGGUUGUCCCCAGCUCUAAUUCAUUUCACUAGCGUUCUAAUAAGGCAUUCAAGGGAAAUCCCUGGCAGCUCUGCUCAAGGUCAAGGAAUAUACCAUGGACACUAGAUACAAAUUCACCCAAUGAAAGGGACUUUCCUCUCUAUUUGUUUUAUGAAUUAUCGAGAAUCACUCAAUGCAAAGCAUUUUGUUCAUUAAUUGUAGUCUGAGGAUCCUCGGCCCUCCAGGUCAUUGUCCUAUCCACAAGCCAUUCCUGGCAUCAGCCCUUUCUGGGCAGCUACUGUCCUU